rnacentral:lncRNA from 1 species
ACUGAGCCCCCUUAACCUGAAGUGGACCCCAACAUUCAGGCCACGUGCACCCAGGAGAAGGAGCGGAACAAGAUACUCAACAACAAGUUUGCCUCCUUCAUCGACAAGGUACGGUUCCUGGAGCAGCAGAACAAGAUGCUGGAGUCCAACUGGAGCCUCCUGCAGCAGCAGAAGAUGGCUUGGAGCAACGUGGACAAAAUGUUCCAGAGCUAUAUCAAAAACCUUAGGCGGUAGCUGGAGACUCUGGGCCAGGAGAAGCUGAAGCUGGAGGCAGAGCUUGGCAACAUGCAGGGGCUGGUAGAAGACUUCAAGAACAAGUACGAGGAUGAGAUCAAUAAGCGUACAGAGGUGGAGAAUGAAUUUGUCCUUAUAAGAAGGAUGUGGAUGAAGCUUACCUGAACAAGUUAGAGCUGGAGUCUCGCCUGGAAGGUCUGACUGAUGAGAUCAACUUCCUCAGGCAGCUGUAUGAAGAGAUCUGGGAGCUGCAGUCCCAGGUCUGGGACACGUCUGUGGUGCUGUCCAUGGACAACAGCUGUUCCCCGGACAUGGACAGCCAUCGCUGAGGUCAAGGCUUAGUACGAGGAGCUAGCCAAGCGCAGCAGGACUGAGGCUGAGGGCAUGUACCAGAUCAAGUAUGAGAAGCUGCAGAAGCUGGCUGGGAAGCACGGGGAUGAACUGCGGCACACAAAAGCAGAUCUCCCAGAUGAACCAGAACAUCAGCCGGCUCUAGGCUGAGAUUGAGGGCCUCAAAGGCCAGAGGGCUUCCCUGGAGACCGCCAUCACAGUUGCCGAGCAGCUGGGGAGCUGGCCGUUAAGUUUGCCUCCUUCAUCGACAAGGUACGGUUCCUGGAGCAGCAGAACAAGAUGCUGGAGUCCAACUGGAGCCUCCUGCAGCAGCAGAAGAUGGCUUGGAGCAACGUGGACAAAAUGUUCCAGAGCUAUAUCAAAAACCUUAGGCGGUAGCUGGAGACUCUGGGCCAGGAGAAGCUGAAGCUGGAGGCAGAGCUUGGCAACAUGCAGGGGCUGGUAGAAGACUUCAAGAACAAGUACGAGGAUGAGAUCAAUAAGCGUACAGAGGUGGAGAAUGAAUUUGUCCUUAUAAGAAGGAUGUGGAUGAAGCUUACCUGAACAAGUUAGAGCUGGAGUCUCGCCUGGAAGGUCUGACUGAUGAGAUCAACUUCCUCAGGCAGCUGUAUGAAGAGAUCUGGGAGCUGCAGUCCCAGGUCUGGGACACGUCUGUGGUGCUGUCCAUGGACAACAGCUGUUCCCCGGACAUGGACAGCCAUCGCUGAGGUCAAGGCUUAGUACGAGGAGCUAGCCAAGCGCAGCAGGACUGAGGCUGAGGGCAUGUACCAGAUCAAGUAUGAGAAGCUGCAGAAGCUGGCUG